CCGCCAUAAAGCCACGAAGAAGAAGAAGACGGAGUGGGAGGAGGAAAGAGGAAAGUGAGCUAAACAAAACAAACUGUGCCUUUAAGUGUUUCAGCGUGUUAAAUCUCUCUUAAACAAGAGGAUGGCGACCUUCAGCAGACGGGCUCUGGACAGGACCUACUCUGUGGUCUUGCUGGCUGUCGUGGUCUUGUCCUGGUCUUAUGUGAUCUACGCCAGCAGGAUCGCAUCUUAUUGGCUGUUGGAGAAGAGGACCGCCCUCCUCCUGCAAAACUGACCGCCAGCAACAGGCUGAUGGACAGUUUUUAAACCUUGUGGGGUUCAAUCCUCUUACAGACAGAGAGACUCGACCUGACAGACCUGUGGAGGCCGGCCGUACUGAAGCACAUUGUUAAAACACAACAGAAGUGGACUGAAGCCUCGUGACCUCUGAAAGCCUCCCGCCUGACUGGCCCUGAACGGGAACGAUGGGAGAAUCACGAUGAAAUCAACACAAGCAAUUAUGGGUACAAUAUUUGUUGUUGGUCGUUCGGCAGCUGGAGGUGGGCGGAUGAAGCCUCAUGAAACGAUUUGAGGUGUGCUGACGUCUGCUGGUUUGUAGAGCUUCCACAAAGCACCAGAACACCUCCCUGUUUUAUUAUGUGUGUAAUGAAAGUCCAAGAAGCCUGCGUGAUAUUUAUUAUAUUUCCAAAACUUCACUACAGCUGAAACGAUUAAUAGAUUAGUUCAUCAACAGAACAUUUAUUGUUUCGCUGGUUUCAGCUUCUUAAAUGUGAAUAUUUUCUAGUUUCUGUUAGUAAACAAGUAUUUGUUAGGUUUCGUUUCAGAAAUUGUGAUAAACAAUUUUCAAUAUUUUAUUAAUUCCUGGAGGAAAUUAUAAAGGGAACAACUUCCAGCACCUCUAGUGGUUUUACAGGAGCUGAUGUGCCAGAUGCUUUGUUGGACAGAGCCAGGUUAGCUGUUUCCAGUCUUUAUGCUAAGCUAAGCUAGGGCUGGGCAAUAAAAUAAUAAUGGUAAUAUUUAUAUAUAUCACGUUUCUCAAUAGCAAAUGUUCAAUAAAUGUUUGAUUUAAUUAAUCUGAACCAAACAAAUCAGGGCUUCACUUUAAAGAUAUUUUAUAAUUUUGUUGAGGACCGAAAAGAUAUUUAAUUUCACUUGUGCAUAUUUGUUGAAAAAAGAUUUUAUAUUUAUAGUUGUGAAUGUUUGACCUCAGAUUAUGUUAAAUGAUUCACUGUUUCACAACAAGUUUUUCUUUUCUGACCAUAAAGAAAAGUUUAAAAACACAAUUAACCAUCUGGUUUCUUCCACUCAGGAGCAAAAAUCAGCCUUUAAACCUGAAAAAAAUCACAUUUGACAUUUAUCCUGAUAGUUAUCAGUAUCGAAUGAUAUUAAAUGUUUUAUCAUGAUAAUAUUUUUGGCCAUAUCGCCCAGCUCUAAGCCAGCUGGCUGUAGCUUCAAAUACAGACAUGAGAGAGCUAUCGAUCUAAACAUCCCUCGCCCUUCAUAAUGUGUUUCUGUUGUUUUAGUAGUUUAUAUUGAGUUUAAGUUUAAAUAUUUGUACUUCAUUCUUAUGUGUUUGUCUAGAUUGAUUUAUUUUCACUUUGAUUCUCUGAUUAAAGAUUUGUUUCUGAAGCCUGA